rnacentral:rRNA from 1 species
CCUACGGGUGGCAGCAGUGAGGAAUAUUUGUCAAUGGCCGGAAGGCUGAACCUGCGAAGUCGCGUGAGGGAAUGAGGCCCUAUGGGUCGUAAACCUCUUUUGUCAGGGAGCAAAGGCGUCCACGUGUGGACGAGAAGAGAGUACCUGAAGAAACAGCAUCAGCUAACUCCGUGCCAGCAGCCGCUGUACUACGGGGGAUGCGAGCGUUAUCCGGAUUUAUGUGGUUUAAUGGGUGCGUAGGGGGAGUGUCAAGUCAGCGGUAAAAUUUCGGGGCUCAACCCCGUCGUGCCGUUGAAACUGACGCCCUUGAGUGAGUGAGAAGGAAGCGGAAUGCGUGGUGUAGCGGUGAAAUGCAUAGAUAUCACGCAGAACGCCGAUGGCGAAGGCAGCUUACCGGCGCUCAACUGACGCUGAGGCACGAAAGUGAGGGUAGCGAACAGGAUUAGAUACCCUUGUAGUC